UAUAGCUUCUAGUGGUUUUGCCUUCAGAGCGGUGAACCCGGGACUCUCGGUCAUGUCCACCAUUUUAUCACCAAUCUUCUGCCACUAGAAACAUUGAAGGAGCGAGCCCAAUGCUAAUCCCACCACUCUCAGGGCCGAGCCUUCUCCAGGACAGCUCCUCCUUCCAUGCCCGAAAGGCAUCAACUUAAACCCAUCUCUAGCCCCCUCUGGGUUGUCAAACCUCUCAGGUCUGAAUUUUGUUGGGUCUGGCCAGAUUUUAGGGUCAUUUUGAAUGGCCCACAUAUUUACAGAGAGCAUCGUGCCACGUGGAAUGCGGAAUCCUCCAACCAGGCAUUCUUCUGAUGACUCAUGAGGUACUAGCAACGGAGCUGGCGGGUACAUCCGUAACGUUUCGUUUAGGAUGCUUCGGAGGUAGGGAAGUUGGGCAAGAUCAGCUUCAUCCAUCAAACGAUCAUGCCCAAUCUGCUCGUCGAUUUCUCUUUUAGCCUUCUCGAGGACUUCGGGAUGGUUAAGCAAAAGUGAAAGUGCCCAUUCCAUUGUAGUAGAUGAAGUGUGUGUUCCUGCAAAUAAGAUCACCUACACACCAAACCAAAAUAUGGUAAUUCCAUAGAUGAUGCAAGCAGUGAAGAUAUCUUAUUCUAGGUGGUGUAACUUGACACGGAAACAAUUUCUAGCAGUGGAGGUAUCUUACUGCUUGUAGAAAUAUCAAAUAAAGAUGAUGCAAACCAAAUCACCAGAGUGAUCUCCCACACCCUAGUCAAUUCAAUACACCUUGGUUGCGUCUAUGACUUGACUAUUCGGAUUCAUAAAGUCUGCAAUUGUGCAUAGCCAGUUUCUUGACAAAAGCAAGAUCCAAAGACAAAAUAUGUCACUUCUUACCCGAAAAGUACUGGCGUCCCAUACUAUUUUACUUAAUUCCAUAUCUAUAUAAUUGGUGAUAACUAAGAUUUCAUCCAUUUUAUAUAGAAGAACAGUGCUGCAUUAUGUUAUCGCAACUCCAUUGAUCAUAAGAAUCAGUAAAUCAAGAAACAUGAUUAAAGUUCUUACCACCACAAGCCCUUUGAUGAUAUCGUCCGUGUAAUACUCAGGUUCAGUUUCUUGCAGGGACAGCAGAACCUGAAUCAAAUUCUUUUUCUUUUCACCACAGCAAUCACCCUCCAGUAUUUUUCUCCGUUGCUCUUCUAUCAAACACUGCAAGAAGCUAUCCCUCUUUAGAUUGCAUUCUAUCAAUCUCUUCUCCAUCUUUUUUGAUUUAAUCCACGGUAUAUAGUCUCCUAUAAUGGUUUUGCCACCUAGCAAGAAGCUUUCAGCAUGAAGUGCACGAAACCUUUUGGCUUCUUCCACAUCAGAAACAUUCUCUCCAUAAUAUCUCUUUCCAGCUAUCAUCCGCAUCACGAUGUUCAGUGUCAGUUCGAAGAAAACUGUCCUCAUAUCUACGAACUGGUUCUGAUUACGGAAGAGAACACAAACCAUUGACUUCACCUCCUCCAGACGUAUGGCAGAAAGCAUUUGGAGGCGGUAUGCAGACAAGACUUCAAUAGAGACGAUCCUCCUGAGGUUUCGCCAGUGGUCGCCAUAGGGAGCCCAAACAAGGCUUGUGCUGUUGUAGGCGAGGUGUUUUGCAAUGAGCAAACGUGGGCGGUUUGCAAAGACAACAUCAUUUUUGGUAAAGCAUUCUUCAGCUAUCGAAGGGGAUGAGACAACAAGUAGUCGACGAGACCCGAGUUGGAGCAAGAUUACGGGGCCAUGUUUAUCGGAGAUUUUUGAUAGUGUCCUGUAAAGUGGCUUCUUCAGUAGGUAGAGGUGGCCAAUGAUUGGUAGUGAAGGGAAUGGACUAGGUGGGAAGUUUCUUAUCUUGUUGAGGAAGUGAGUAGAUAUGAUAUACAAGGCUAAAAACACCGGAAAGUAGAGAAACAAGGUUGCCAUGGAUUUGUUAAUGGCCAC